GAAGGUUGAUAUGUCCCCGGGGCCUGAUGGUCUACAUCCCAGAAUUUUGAAGAUAAAUGACUGAGGAGAUUUCAACAAUCAACCUAGAGAAUCAGUUACCUUCCAGACGUCUGACAUUAUUUUGCUUAUGGCAAUAAUUCAGAUAUGAAAGAACAGAUUGCUGUGGAGGUCAAUAUCAGAAGUCAAGCCCUUAGAAUGCAGAUGCAGUGUCGCAAGAUGUUCUGUGUAACUACAAGAUUGGUAACUAUGGCCCUUUGGCUAACAGGUGAAGCUCCAGAGCACAGUGGGAAAUUGUGGACCUUUUCUUGGGGUUGAACUUGGGUGACCAUCAUCUUGCCAAUGGGACAAGGGCCCUGAUGUCACACACCACUGAAGGAGAUGGGCAAAAUGGGUGAGGUACCAAUGAAGGUUUCAACUGAGAUCCACAUCAACUGAGAAAUCCUAAGUUAAACCCACAGACAUGUCCGAUGAUGUAAAUGCACAAGAAAUCAUUGCCAAACACAUAUCAGCAUUUGCAAUGCAUAAACAUGAUUGUAACCAAAUAAGGGGUGAAGUGGAUCUGACUCACGAUGCUGACUCUUGACCACAAAAACAACAACAUUUUCUCAAACAAGACAAAA